GUGGCGGACAACAUUUCGAUAGCGAUGCUAAUACCGCAUACGUCCUACGGGAGAAAGCAGCGGAUCCUUGUGACCUUGCGCUAAUAGAUGAGCCUAAGUCGGAUUAUCUAGUUGGUGGGGUAAAGGCCUACCAAGGCGACGAUCUGUAGCGGGUCUGAGAGGAUGAUCCGCCACACUGGGACUGAGACACGGCCCAGACUCCUACGGGAGGCAGCAGUGGGGAAUAUUGGACAAUGGGCGGAACCCUGAUCCAGCCAUGCCGCGUGUGUGAAGAAGGCCUAUUGGUUGUAAAGCACUUUAAGCGAGGAGGAGGCUACUCUGGUUAAUACCUGGGAUAAGUGGACGUUACUCGCAGAAUAAGCACCGGCUAACUCUGUGCCAGCAGCCGCGGUAAUACAGAGGGUGCGAGCGUUAAUCGGAUUUACUGGGCGUAAAGCGCGCGUAGGUGGUUAAUUAAGUCAAAUGUGAAAUCCCCGAGCUUAACUUGGGAAUUGCAUUCGAUACUGGUUAGCUAGAGUAUGGGAGAGGAUGGUAGAAUUCCAGGUGUAGCGGUGAAAUGCGUAGAGAUCUGGAGGAAUACCGAUGGCGAAGGCAGCCAUCUGGCCUAAUACUGACACUGAGGUGCGAAAGCAUGCGGAGCAAACAGGAUUAGAUACCCUGGUAGUCCAUGCCGUAAACGAUGUCUACUAGCCGUUGGCGCCUUUGAUCCUUUAGUGGCGCAGCUAACGCGAUAAGUAGACCGCCUGGGGAGUACGGUCGCAAGACUAAAACUCAAAUGAAUUGACGGGGGCCCGCACAAGCGGUGGAGCAUGUGGUUUAAUUCGAUGCAACGCGAAGAACCUUACCUGGCCUUGACAUAGUAGAAACUUUCCAGAGAUGGAUUGGUGCCUUCGGGAAUCUACAUACAGGUGCUGCAUGGCUGUCGUCAGCUCGUGUCGUGAGAUGUUGGGUUAAGUCCCGCAACGAGCGCAACCC
rnacentral:rRNA from 1 species